rnacentral:lncRNA from 1 species
AGAGGCAGAUCAAAAUAUGGUGCGGAAAAACCCAAAUCGAUAUGAAUGGAAGAUGCCUCUGGAACUCGUUUUUCUCGGUAAGGAUAGGUACGAAGUCACUCGACUGAAAGGAGAGGGAACAACCACAACGUUACACCCCAAAACUAUACGGAGCCCUUCCGAAUGACCUAGAAUAUAGUCUACUAGACUAGCCAAGAAAGAGUCUAGUAGACUAUAUUCGCCCGUGGAGGUGAGUGGAGGAAGCUGUGAAGCUUCUAACUCUAAUUACCAACUCGGGACUUUUUUAGUAAAAAGCGGCAUUAUCCCUUUACUAAAUCCCCCCCUCGCUUACCACCAUGAACAACACCUUUCCCGAUCAAUUGGUUUUUAAUUAUUUAAUAAGAAAGAUGGCAAAUCCUACCAUUGUAUUUCCUUUUUUCAUUUGGAUCCUAUCAACUUGGAGAGUGUCUAGAUUAAGACACU